rnacentral:rRNA from 1 species
GACGAACGCUGGCGGCAUGCCUAAUACAUGCAAGUUGAACGAUGAUAUUCUCUGCUUGCCGAGAAUUGAAGAGUAGCGAACGGGUGAGUAACACGUGGGGAACCUGCCCAUGAGAGGGGGAUAACAUUCGGAAACGGAUGCUAAUACCGCAUAAUGCUUUGGACCGCCUGGUCCAGAGACGAAAGACGGCUUUUGCUGUCACUCAUGGAUGGCCCCGCGCCGUAUUAGCUAGUUGGUGAGGUAAUGGCUCACCAAAGCUGUGAUACGUAGCCGACCUGAGAGGGUGAUCGGCCACACUGGGACUGAGACACGGCCCAGACUCCUACGGGAGGCAGCAGUAGGGAAUCUUCCACAAUGGGCGAAAGCCUGAUGGAGCAAUGCCGCGUGAAUGAAGAAGGUCUUCGGAUCGUAAAGUUCUGUUAUUAGAGAAGAACAAGUCAAGGAGUAACUGUCUUGACUUUGACGGUACCUAACCAGAAAGUCACGGCUAACUACGUG